rnacentral:rRNA from 1 species
GACGAACGCUGGCGGCGCGCUUAACACAUGCAAGUCGAGCGAAGCGGCGGUCGGGUGAGUAACACGUGAGUAACCUGCCUUAGACAUUGGGAUAGCCUCUGGAAACCGGUAUUAAUACCAAAUGGUCUAAGAUGGACUCGCGUCCCAUUAGCUAGUUGGUGGGUAACGGCCCACCAAGGCAACGAUGGGUAGCCGGGCUGAGAGGGUUGACGGGCACAUUGGAACUGAGCAACGGUCCAAACUCUACGGGAGGGAGCAGUGGGGAAUAUUGCAAAAUUGAGGGAACUCUGAUGCAGCGACGCCGGGUGAACGAAGAAGGCUUUCGAGUCGUAAAGUUCUUUUAUAUGGGAAGCGGUACCAUAAGAAAAAGCACCGGCUAACUACGUGCCAGCAGCCGCGGUAAUAC